GAUGAACGCUGGCGGCGUGCCUAAUACAUGCAAGUCGAGCGAACGGACGAGAAGCUUGCUUCUCUGAUGUUAGCGGCGGACGGGUGAGUAACACGUGGAUAACCUACCUAUAAGACUGGGAUAACUUCGGGAAACCGGAGCUAAUACCGGAUAAUAUUUUGAACCGCAUGGUUCAAAAGUAAAAGACGGUCUUGCUGUCACUUAUAGAUGGAUCCGCGCUGCAUUAGCUAGUUGGUAAGGUAACGGCUUACCAAGGCAACGAUGCAUAGCCGACCUGAGAGGGUGAUCGGCCACACUGGAACUGAGACACGGUCCAGACUCCUACGGGAGGCAGCAGUAGGGAAUCUUCCGCAAUGGGCGAAAGCCUGACGGAGCAACGCCGCGUGAGUGAUGAAGGUCUUCGGAUCGUAAAACUCUGUUAUUAGGGAAGAACAUAUGUGUAAGUAACUGUGCACAUCUUGACGGUACCUAAUCAGAAAGCCACGGCUAACUACGUGCCAGCAGCCGCGGUAAUACGUAGGUGGCAAGCGUUAUCCGGAAUUAUUGGGCGUAAAGCGCGCGUAGGCGGUUUUUUAAGUCUGAUGUGAAAGCCCACGGCUCAACCGUGGAGGGUCAUUGGAAACUGGAAAACUUGAGUGCAGAAGAGGAAAGUGGAAUUCCAUGUGUAGCGGUGAAAUGCGCAGAGAUAUGGAGGAACACCAGUGGCGAAGGCGACUUUCUGGUCUGUAACUGACGCUGAUGUGCGAAAGCGUGGGGAUCAAACAGGAUUAGAUACCCUGGUAGUCCACGCCGUAAACGAUGAGUGCUAAGUGUUAGGGGGUUUCCGCCCCUUAGUGCUGCAGCUAACGCAUUAAGCACUCCGCCUGGGGAGUACGACCGCAAGGUUGAAACUCAAAGGAAUUGACGGGGACCCGCACAAGCGGUGGAGCAUGUGGUUUAAUUCGAAGCAACGCGAAGAACCUUACCAAAUCUUGACAUCCUUUGACAACUCUAGAGAUAGAGCCUUCCCCUUCGGGGGACAAAGUGACAGGUGGUGCAUGGUUGUCGUCAGCUCGUGUCGUGAGAUGUUGGGUUAAGUCCCGCAACGAGCGCAACCCUUAAGCUUAGUUGCCAUCAUUAAGUUGGGCACUCUAAGUUGACUGCCGGUGACAAACCGGAGGAAGGUGGGGAUGGCGUCAAAUCAUCAUGCCCCUUAUGAUUUGGGCUACACACGUGCUACAAUGGACAAUACAAAGGGCAGCGAAACCGCGAGGUCAAGCAAAUCCCAUAAAGUUGUUCUCAGUUCGGAUUGUAGUCUGCAACUCGACUACAUGAAGCUGGAAUCGCUAGUAAUCGUAGAUCAGCAUGCUACGGUGAAUACGUUCCCGGGUCU
rnacentral:rRNA from 1 species